AAGACACAGCAUAGAAAAAAAAAUGUUAAAUGCGACAGGAACUGAUGCUGUGUUGCAAGUUCUGGAUAAUGUGUAUUGCCUUUUCAUGAAAACCUGACAAACUCAUUGCACCGAUUACCCGGAAAUAAAAGAAUGUGAGCAGCAGUAAAAGCCAACAUACAAGAAAGCACUCUACAUCCAGAUAAAUUUCAAGAGCUUCAGAGCUUCCCACUCUUCAAAGGCUUUCUGGAAUAAAAACUUCCAGAAGAAGAACAUGUGUGGAAUAAUACGGCUCAGUGAAAACCAGCUAAAUAAAAAAGAAGGUGACAGACAUGUAUCUUAAAGAAAGAAAUGCUGUGAUCAGGAUGCAGCUUUCUGAAGUGCUCAGAAAUGGAGAGAUGCUUUUGGAACUCAUGCUGUGCUGAAGACCUAGAUUGAGAUUCCCAGAUUCUAAUAUAAAUGUGCCAUAGCAAAGUGCUGGCUAAAUAAUUCCUGAGUAGUCAAACACCUUGUCCUGGCCAAUACUGAAAGCUGUUGCUACUGCAGCUUCUGCUACCUCUACCAGCAGUGGCCACAGUCAUAGUGAGGAAGAGGCAUAUAACAACCACUGAUUUGGAUGAUUUUACUUCAACUAAAAACUGAGGUAAUGUGUUCUUAUUUUCUUAAAUAAAAACGGGAGGGCCCUAAGGAGCAUGAAGAAUCUAUAGGUAGAUGGGAGCAAUAUAAGGUAGGUAGUGGAAAGAGAAUUUAAGGAGUUUUAGUUGGGUAAAAAUAGAACAGGAGACCAUAACUUAGACAUAUAAACAUUUAUUGUGUUGCAUUUACUAUUCUAUUUACCCAUUCUCGUAAUAAAUGCAGCAAGACUAAAAUACUAAGGAGAAACACCACUAUUGAAGCAAAUAAUGGAGGACAGCUGAUAUCUUGGAGAGAAACGUUCAAGACCCAGAAAUACCAAUGUGUUAAAGGAUCUAAAGGAAUAACAAAAGAUUUUUGAUGCAUUUCUGAUCUCCUUGCUUAAUAUUAACACCUAAUGAAAAUAGAGAAGGGCAUGAAGCAGCUAGCAGUGACCAUUUUUAAACAUUGCUUGUUUAAUCGUACAAACUGUUGAAUUACACAACUCCUACUGAAAUAAAUAGGAACUGUUGCUGUUGA